AUGUCGCGGUGACUUUUUGUCCCAGAUUUGCGGUGAGGAAAACUAGUGUCACAGAAUAGACCGCCCCAUAUAGUCUUACAUUCCUACUUUGAAAUAUUAUUUCUCAGAACUGUAGUCAAGAUGCUUAACUUUUGUUGGAUCUCACUGUUCUCAUCUCUGCAUGAGCGGCUGAAAUAAACCUUAGGGAAGAAAAGGGAGAGAAGUUCUAAAGUUUCAUCUGGUUGAAAGUCUUGGUGGUUUAAUCUGUGGCACCUCUCAGACCUCACAGAGAAGCCUGGGGCUCGAACUCCCAACCCUGAGACCAAGCAUGACAUGCUUCACAGUCUGAGCAAGACUCCAGGAACGGAGUCUUGCAGAUAGGGGAAGAAGAUUGCCGGCGGAGACGAGAGCACGAACCCUAAGAGAGAGAGAGCACAUGCAAAGGGGACAGCGGCCGGUGGAAGGAGCAGCAGACUCUCUGCUGAGCAGAGAACCGUAUGCAGGACUCCAUCCCGGGACCCUGGGAUCAUAACCCUGGCUGAAGGCAGAUGAUUAACUAACUGAGCCACCCAGGUGUCUCCCCCCCGCCUUUUUUUAGGUGCCUCCUUUUAAAGAACACUCAGGAUCAAGGACAGUGUCUUCUUUCAUCACUAAAACUUGUUUCCGGUGAGUAUAGGUUACAUAUGGCCUCAUAAUUUAUCUCAAAAUAUUUUAGUGUUUUGCCAAUUUCUAUACAAACAGAAAAUGCAAUAAAACUUUGAUAAAUUUAUUACUAGCUUAUUUAUUUAAAAAAAAAGACAAAGCUAGACCUUUGGUCAUAGAACUUCCAAGUUUUUUUUUCUGUGUGAAGCAAUUUAUACCACAUUAUUGUCAAUUAAUUUUUAUUUUAUGAACUCACAGCUCCAAGCAAUUAUAUAUCAAAGGCAUUCUUUGUA